CCAAAGGUUUUUCCGGAAUUUUUUGGGGGUAAAAGGAAGGCCCGGGGGGUUUUUUAGGUUUGAAUGGAAAACCCUUUGGGUUUAACCGGAAGAAGUGCAUUGGAAACCCGGGAGACUUGAGUGCAGAAGAGGACCAGUGGAACUCCCAUGUGAAGCGGUGAAAUGCGUAGAAAUAUGGAAGAACACCAGGGGCGAAGGCGGCUGUCUGGUCUGUAACUGACGCUGAGGCUCGAAAGCAUGGGUAGCGAACAGGAUUAGAUACCCUGGUAGUCCAUGCCGUAAACGAUGAGUGCUAAGUGUUGGAGGGUUUCCGCCCUUCAGUGCUGCAGCUAACGCAUUAAGCACUCCGCCUGGGGAGUACGACCGCAAGGUUGAAACUCAAAGGAAUUGACGGGGGCCCGCACAAGCGGUGGAGCAUGUGGUUUAAUUCGAUGCUACGCGAAGAACCUUACCAGGUCUUGACAUCUUCUGCCAACCUAAGAGAUUAGGCGUUCCCUUCGGGGACAGAAUGACAGGUGGUGCAUGGUUGUCGUCAGCUCGUGUCGUGAGAUGUUGGGUUAAGUCCCGCAACGAGCGCAACCCUUAUUGUUAGUUGCCAGCAUUCAGUUGGGCACUCUAGCAAGACUGCCGGUGACAAACCGGAGGAAGGUGGGGAUGACGUCAAAUCAUCAUGCCCCUUAUGACCUGGGCUACACACGUGCUACAAUGGACGGUACAACGAGUCGCGAAACCGCGAGGUCAAGCUAAUCUCUUAAAGCCGUUCUCAGUUCGGAUUGUAGGCUGCAACUCGCCUACAUGAAGUUGGAAUCGCUAGUAAUCGUGGAUCAGCAUGCCACGGUGAAUACGUUCCCGGGCCUUGUACACACCGCCCGUCACACCAUGAGAGUUUGUAACACCCAAAGCCGGUGAGGUAACCUUCGGGGACCAGCCGUCUAAGUGACAGAAUUGGG
rnacentral:rRNA from 2 species